CCGCCAUCUCCAGGGCCCACGAGCACACUUGCGUGACCCCAGUGUCGGCCUCUCCCUGAGUCUCUGGAGGAGAAAAGGGGAAAGCUGCCAAGGACGGAUGGCGCGUGCCCUCAAGGGCCCUGACUCAGGUUUUACUCUGAAGAGGGUAGAAUGAAAAACGAGAUAAGAAAUCAGCUUGUUAUGAAGCACAUGAGAAAAAAAGCAAAAAUAAGGUGGACACCAAUUUCUUAGCAAUGACUCCAAGCGUGCUAGUUGCCUGUGAGACGUGGGGAGUGCUGCAGGAUUGCCUAUGCCUGUAAUGAGGACUUACAUUCCUAGAGAUCUGAGAUAACUCGGAUGUUAAUUCUCCACAGCCACAGGUCUGCCAGCAGAAGUUCAGCCAAAAGCUUGUCAAAAUGAUAAUUUCUAUGAGGGACUUUGAUUCAAAAGAUCUGAAGGACCAAUGCAGGUGAAUACCAAAUAACCAGCAAUAUAUCAAUGCUUGAAAAUGAAUCAACUCACCUCCAAC